AUUGAACGCUGGCGGCAUGCUUUACACAUGCAAGUCGAACGGCAGCGCCGGGGGCAACCCUGGCGGCGAGUGGCGAACGGGUGAGUAAUGUAUCGGAACGUAUCCUGUAAUGGGGGAUAACCAGUCGAAAGAUUGGGUAAUACCGCAUACGCACGAGAGUGGAAAGUAGGGGAUCGCAAGACCUUACGUUAUAGGAGCGGCCGAUAUCUGAUUAGCUAGUUGGUGGGGUAAAGGCCUACCAAGGCGACGAUCAGUAGCUGGUCUGAGAGGACGACCAGCCACACUGGGACUGAGACACGGCCCAGACUCCUACGGGAGGCAGCAGUGGGGAAUUUUGGACAAUGGGCGAAAGCCUGAUCCAGCCAUGCCGCGUGCAGGAAGAAGGCCUUCGGGUUGUAAACUGCUUUAGUCUAGGAAAAAGGGGUGCGAGGUUAAUACCCUCGUGCUUUGAUGGUACUGGAAGAAUAAGCACCGGCUAACUACGUG
rnacentral:rRNA from 1 species